rnacentral:rRNA from 1 species
UCAUAUAGUGGUUGUUCCGCACCGUAGUCAUACUCUGGUAUCAAAGAUUGAGCCAUGCAUGUGUAAGUAUACAUAGUUAACUUCGAAACUGUGAAUGGUUCAUUAUAUCAGUUAUAGUCAAUCCAAUGAAAUGUCAUAAUGGAUAACCGUAGUAAUUGUAGAGCUAAUACAUGUUCAAGGUGGGUAAGAUAGCAGCUAUUAGAAUGAAAACCAUAGGUUUCGGCUUUUUCGUGAGUAAUCUCCGAAAUCAUACCCAAAGUCUAAGUAACGAGGUAUCGCCCAAGUAUUUCAAUACUCAGCCAUCGAAAGUAGAUAGGGCAGAAACCAGAACGACACAUGGUUACGAAAGCAUAGGGUUAUGAUUAGGAGAGGGAGCCACGAAUAGGCCGAAACAUACAAGGAAGGCAGCAUAAGUGCAAUUUACACGACCUUGACACAGGGAGGUAUUGACAAUAAAUCACAUUGUGCAACAAGGACAUGCAAUCAAAUGAGAACAACGUACAAACCGAGCCGAUAAACAAUUGGAAAGCAAGUUAGGUGUCAGCACACAUGGGUGAUUCAUUUUGGCGAG